GGGCGAAAGCCUGACGCAGCCAUGCCGCGUGAAUGAUGAAGGUCUUAGGAUUGUAAAAUUCUUUCACCGGGGACGAUAAUGACGGUACCCGGAGAAGAAGCCCCGGCUAACUUCGUGCCAGCAGCCGCGGUAAUACGAAGGGGGCUAGCGUUGCUCGGAAUUACUGGGCGUAAAGGGAGCGUAGGCGGACAUUUAAGUCAGGGGUGAAAUCCCGGGGCUCAACCUCGGAACUGCCCUUGAUACUGGAUGUCUUGAGUGUGAGAGAGGUAUGUGGAACUCCGAGUGUAGAGGUGAAAUUCGUAGAUAUUCGGAAGAACACCASUGGCGAAGGCGACAUACUGGCUCAUUACUGACGCUGAGGCUCGAAAGCGUGGGGAGCAAACAGGAUUAGAUACCCUGGUAGUCCACGCCGUAAACGAUGAUUGCUAGUUGUCGGGAUGCAUGCAUUUCGGUGACGCAGCUAACGCAUUAAGCAAUCCGCCUGGGGAGUACGGUCGCAAGAUUAAAACUCAAAGGAA
rnacentral:rRNA from 1 species